rnacentral:lncRNA from 1 species
CCCCGGCCGGAGCCGGCCGCCGGGGCAAAGCCCGGACCGGGCGAUACCCCCCGUCCCGCUGCGGGGCCAGCCCUCAUGGCCCGCCGGCCCCCCGGGCCCUGCCGGCGGCGGGGUCCGGAGGCGUCCGGUGGGGCUGCGCGCCCCGGGAUGCCGCUUGCCGUGUCAUCUGCCCCGGCAGCGCUCCGCCACCGCCUCGGCGCAACCUCCCCGGGCUUAUAUAACUCCCCGCUUGGAGCGGGGCCAGCGGCUCGAUCGCCGGGCUGUGCCGAGGCCCGCACGCCGGCCCACGGGUCGCCCGUGGGGUCUGCCCCGGCACCCGGCGGCCCCCUCCGUGUGGCGUUAACUGCUUCCCCGCCGUCCCGCGGCCCUGUGGCGGGGGGGGGCAGCCCGGCGUGUGCGAGCCACCGGCCACCUCCUCUCCUCUCAUCUCCUGGGAUUAUCCAGCGCGAGGAUGACAACUCCCGCUCCCUCCCGCGGCAUCACCUGCCAGGGAAUGUGCUGACAAAGUGCCCACACGGAGGGGUAGGGCUUCCCUGCUGCUCCCUCCCAGGAAAAGCAGACGCUGGAAGCCCAGAGAUGGUGGAAGCUCGGAGAUGCUGGGCUGCAGAGGAUCCUGUUGCCACUUCCUGCUCCCCGACUGCGCUGUCUCCAUUUGGUACAUGUGAGCUGGAGGCCACAGCAUGGCCAGCCAUAACAAGGCAGGUUCCCUGCCACCCGAGUGGCCUUUCUGCACCGCGGCGCGUCAGAGGCACCAGGCAACCCCGCUCUAUAUUUAGGCUGUGGAGAAUUCCCCUGGGCUCUCCCUUCCGAGCUGAAAAGGUCCUGACCCACCAGAGUCACCCUGGACCGUGCACUCAUCUCUUCAGCUUGGGCAUUUCUGCCUGGAGACCCCCACCAAGGUGGAGGGAAGGGCUUGGAGUCACCUCGCUCGUCUGCAGGGACAUCUUGCCAUCAGGACCUAUCCCUGCCGGGGAAAGCAGAGCAGGGGCCACGCUUCCUCCGUGGACCUGGAGCCUGUGA